rnacentral:rRNA from 1 species
GAUGAACGCUAGCGAUAGGCUUAACACAUGCAAGUCGAGGGGCAGCAUGGUCUUAGCUUGCUAAGACUGAUGGCGACCGGCGCACGGGUGCGUAACGCGUAUGCAACUUGCCUCACAGAGGGGGAUAACCCGUCGAAAGACGGACUAAUACCGCGUACACUUGGGAUAGGGCAUCCUGACCCAAGGAAAUGAAAUUCGCUGUGAGAUAGGCAUGCGUCCCAUUAGCUAGUUGGUGAGGUAACGGCUCACCAAGGCGACGAUGGGUAGGGGAACUGAGAGGUUGAACCCCCACACUGGUACUGAGACACGGACCAGACUCCUACGGGAGGCAGCAGUGAGGAAUAUUGGUCAAUGGGCGAGAGCCUGAACCAGCCAAGUCGCGUGAAGGAUGACUGUCUUAUGGAUGGUAAACUUCUUUUAGACGGGAAUAACAAGAGCCACGUGUGGCUCCCUGCAUGUACCGUAUGAAUAAGCAUCGGCUAACUCCGUG